AUCCUUUUCCGGUUCAUAAGCGUGAUGAUUGGGUUCUCACUCGCUUGCGUGAUAUGUGCCUCCCUCUAAACCUUGUUAUGACAUGGGCACAUUACCCGUCUGAUG
ensembl:snoRNA